rnacentral:rRNA from 1 species
CCUACGGGAUGCACCAGUGGGGAAUAUUGCACAAUGGGCGCAAGCCUGAUGCAACCAUGCCGCGUCUAUGAAGAAGGCCUUCGGGUUGUAAAGUACUUUCAGCGGGGAGGAAGGCGAUAAGGUUAAUAACCUUGUCGAUUGACGUUACCCGCGGAAGAAGCACCGGCUAACUCCGUGCCAGCAGCCGCGGUAAUACGGAGGGUGCAAGCGUUAAUCGGAAUUACUGGGCGUAAAGCGCACGCAGGCGGUCUGGCAAGUCGGAUGUGAAAUCCCCGGGCUCAACCUGGGAACUGCAUUCGAAACUGGCAGGCUAGAGUCUUGUAGAGGGGGGUAGAAUUCCAGGUGUAGCGGUGAAAUGCGUAGAGAUCUGGAGGAAUACCGGUGGCGAAGGCGGCCCCCUGGACAAAGACUGACGCUCAGGUGCGAAAGCGUGGGGAGCAAACAGGAUUAUACCCCCGUAGUC